UACAGAGGUCUCAAGCGUUGUUCGGAUUCAUUGGGCGUAAAGGGUGUGUAGGUGGCGCCGUAAGUCGGGUGUGAAAUCUCGGAGCUUAACUCCGAAACUGCAUUCGAUACUGCCGUGCUUGAGGACUGGAGAGGAGACUGGAAUUUACGGUGUAGCGGUGAAAUGCGUAGAUAUCGUAAGGAAGACCAGUGGCGAAGGCGGGUCUCGUGGACAGUUCCUGACGCUGAGGCACGAAGGCCAGGGGAGCAAACGGG
rnacentral:rRNA from 1 species